rnacentral:lncRNA from 1 species
GGCAGCCGUCUGCACCUUGCUCAUGAGUGACAGCGAUGCAGGUGCCCAUGUUUCUCGGGACGCACAGCGCUGUACAAUGACAAGGCUGUGGACAUGUGCCGGAUGGGGGCACAGUGCCGUGUCCACUCCCUCUCACCUGCUGCUGCCCUGCUGUCUUGGGCAUCCUGAUCGCUGGCUUUGUUCCGUUGUUUCCUCCUCACAGCAUUGCCUAAAAAUACUCUUUAAAAGGAAAGCUUGUUGAGAUGUGAUGAGCCCAGAUCAAAGAACUAUUAAAAGUAAGCUGUCCACAGAGCGCGCCAUCACUCUGAACAUUUUUCAUGUUUCCUACAAGCUAAGACUCCCUCCCACCAACUCAACCAUCAGAAUCAGGAAAUCAACAGGGAUAAAUUGCUACCCAUCAUCCUCAGGCACUGUGACAGUUUCGUCCACAGUCUCAGUAUCUCCUUCAUAGUGAAAGAACUCAGCACAACAGCACACACUGGGUUUAGUCACCAGGACUCUUAGGCCUCCUUCAGUCUGGAACAGGCCCCGGCUUCCCUGAAUUUCCAUGAUUUUGAUACUUCUGUUUGUUUUCUGAGACAGGGUCUGGCUAGGUAGCCCAGGCUGCCCUCGAACUUGCGAUGAUCCUCCUGCCUCAGCCUCCUGAGUGCUGGGAUCACAGGUGUGCCCACUAUGCCUAGCUGACUGAUAUUUUUAGAGGAGAAGCCGUCACUUUGUAGACUGCCCCUCCAUUUAGCUUUGUCUACUUCCUUCUAAUUCGAUUCACGCUGUGCCUCUUUGCCGGGAAUAUGACGCAAGUCUGUGAUCUCGUUGGCCUCUGCCGAGGCUGACAGUUCAGGCUGUCGCACCGUGAAGGCCGCCUUGCUCGCCUGGUUGGGUAGAUCCGGUAAGCUUUUGUGCUGCGCAGUUCCUUAUUCCCCCUUUGUAACCGCUAAGUAUUUUGUGGGUAUCUUAUUUGACACUAUUUAAAUGUCUGCUUCCUCUCGACUGCUCAAGGUACGCAUUGUUUCAGCACUUAUGUCAGUGCGGCCUCCUGCUCUCCCUGGUGCGUUGCGGUCCCUGUACCACCGCUCUGGUGAGGGGCCCCAGCUCUGGCCCAGGCGCCCUCUCCAGCGGCUCCAGCCUUCUCCGGUGUCCUCUGCCUCCUGGCGCCUUCGCGUCCGGCACG